rnacentral:rRNA from 1 species
GACGAACGCUGGCGGCGUGCUUAACACAUGCAAGUCGAACGGUGAAGCUCCAGCUUGCUGGAGUGGAUCAGUGGCGAACGGGUAAGUAACACGUGAGCAACCUGCCCCUGACUCUGGAAUAAGCGCUGGAAACGGCGUCUAAUACUGGAUACGAGAAGGGCCCGCAUGGGCACUUUCUGGAAAGUUUUUCGGUUGGGGAUGGGCUCGCGGCCUAUCAGCUUGUUGGUGAGGUAAUGGCUCACCAAGGCGACGACGGGUAGCCGGCCUGAGAGGGCGACCGGCCACACUGGGACUGAGACACGGCCCAGACUGCAACGGGAGGCAGCAGUGGGGAAUAUUGCACAAUGGGCGAAAGCCUGAUGCAGCGACGCCGCGUGAGGGAUGACGGCCUUCGGGUUGUAAACCUCUUUCAGCAGGGAAGAAGCGAAAGUGACGGUACCUGCAGAAGAAGCACCGGCUAACUACGUG